UACUACGUGGUUAUUUCUCGUCACUCUCCAAUUCCUCUGCAGCAGAGGGAAGAGGGCGUUUGACAUUAUCUGGGAGUAGAAUAGGUUCUCGAAGUCGCGUACGUAAGGUGCUGCUGAGGUAGUGACGAAAGUACUGCAGUGGUGGGCUGGCAGGAAUGGUGGCUGUGGGGGUGAUGCAGUGAACAGUCAUGGCAAGAGUAUUGGAGUGGUAGGCUGUAAUCGAGGAGUGAUUGUGGUAGUGUGGUAAGCAGGCCACGAGGUUACUGCAGAGAUGGGCUGGGAGGAGUGAUGGUUGUAGGCAGUGUACUCGUAGGUGGUGAGCAGAAGUAAACCGCACGUCGGUGACCACCAUUCCUCCAAACUAGAGAGUAGUUGGUGUAUGGUGAUGCCACUGCCAACAUAUAUGCAGCCAUUUCUUCUGUGAUGAUCCUGUGUGCACUACUGGCUCUGUUCAUCAUUCAAGCCUUCAAGGAAUGUUCAGCCAAUUGUGCCAAGUAAGACCAGGCAUGUACUGCCAAUUGUGUUGAGAUGAAAGGUCAAGCAGCAAGCAGGAGACCGAAGGCAUUAGAAUGUACACUUGUGACCACUGUGGAAGAUAUUCUUUGGUUGGGCUGCUGCUAACAAACAUCCUCUCCUGUGCUGGCAACAGAAGAAUGAGGAGCAUCUGCAGAGUUCACUUGUAAAGGUGCAUUUUCAUAAGAGUGGACUUAUGAGAGUCUAAGGAAAAUAUAUGGUAGUCUGUUCACUGGAAGCUGAGGCAAGCAAGCUGUGUGAGCACUGAUUGACUACUGUUAUGUAUAUAAAAUCACAACUGUUCUGCUGUUUUUAAUGUGUUUAUAUAUUUAGGUUGCAGUUAGUGUCAUUAUGUAAAUAUUACUACUAGAAUGGGAAUAAUUAUAACAUUCAAGCUGGUGUUAAGUAAUAAAUUGGUACACAAAAUACAUGCAUUGCUGAUCUGUGAAGUACAUAAGAUAAGCAGCACUGCUGCUACACAGCCACCACUUAAGUACACAAUGCCUCUUAUUUGUUUAAACUGUAUAACAAUAAUUCAACUGUAAUAAUAAUGCUACCAAAACUGAGGAGGUAAUGUAUGGUGACUAAUUCCAACUCAUGACUCAUGUACUUCUCAGCAGUGUCAGCAAUAUAUUCAUUGAGGUUUUGUGUAUUAUUAAUUCUGUUUCUUUUUACAGGCUUGUAUGUCAUGAUUACUAAGUAUAGAUUUGAUUUGACAUGAUAAAAUGCUGCAACUACAACUUUACAUAAGGUUUAUAAACCAUAGUUAAAACAAUAAAAGCUACAGGUUUAUAUAU